AAAUAGGAUGCGAGUAAGUAAUAAUAUUUCAUUCACAUAAUAAAUUAUUAUUAUAAGUAAGGAUCUGGAUCAUCAAUGGCUUCUGUUACUACUACAAGGAAGAAGAGCAGUUUAAUUGUACUUGUAAUAAUGGUGAUAGUGGUGCUUCUCUCUUUUAUUGCUAUGGCGGCCAGAGAAUUCCCUUCUUCUUCUUCUGAUCAUGCAGCUGGUGAAUUCGAAGUGGAGGGACGAGAACUGAGAAUGGAUAACCCAUGGGGUCAUGGUUAUAUUCAUGAUUGAUUAAUUAUUGAUGUUGUUUUUUAUCACUUAAUUAUGCGUCUAUGUGUUAUGUAUAAUGUAUAAUAAGAUAAAAGUUAAUUGAAUCAAUAAAUAAAAACGGGUUUUUGUUAUGAA